rnacentral:rRNA from 1 species
GACGAACGCUGGCGGCGUGCUUAACACAUGCAAGUCGAACGGAGAGGCCCUGUUUUUGUGCGGUGCUCGAGUGGCGAACAGGUGAGUAUCACGUGUGUAACCUGCGCCUGACUUUGGGAUAACUUCAGGAAACAGGGGCUCAUAUCGCAUAGGAGCUCCUGCUACAUGGUGUGGGUUGGAAAGUUGCGGCGGUUGGGGAUGGACUCGCGGCUUAUCAGCUUGUUGGUGAGGUAGUGGCUUACCAAGGCUUUGACGGGUAGCCGGCCUGAGAGGGUGACAGGCCACAAUGGGAUAGGGAAGCGGGCCAGACUCCUACGGGAGGCAUCAGUGAGAGACAGUGCGAAAUAGGCGGAAGCCGGAUGGAGCAAUGUCGCAUGCGGGAAGACUGCUUGCGGGGUGGAAACUGCGUUCGCGUGGGAAGAAGAGUGAGUGACGGUAAUGGGUAAAGAAGCAACGGCUAACUACGUG